rnacentral:misc_RNA from 1 species
GAUGAAGAACGCAGCGAAAUGCGAUAAGUAGUGUGAAUUGCAGAAUUCAGUGAAUCAUCGAAUCUUUGAACGCACAUUGCGGCCAUAGGUAUUCCUUUGGCCAUGCCUGUUCGAGCGUCAUUUACACCCUCAAGCCUAGCUUGGUGUUGGGCGUCUGUCCCGCCGUUUUCGCGCGCGGACUCGCCUCAAAGUCAUUGGCGGCGGUCGUGCCGGCCCCCUCGCGCAGCACAUUUGCGCUUCUCGGAGGCCCGGCGGAUCCGCGCUCCAGCAAGACCUUUCACGACUUGACCUCGGAUCAGGUAGGGAUACCCGCUGAACUUAAGCAUAUCAUAAGCGGAGA